rnacentral:rRNA from 1 species
CAUGCAAGUCGAGCGGACAGAAGGGAGCUUGCUCCCGGAUGUUAGCGGCGGACGGGUGAGUAACACGUGGGAACCUGCCUGUAAGACUGGGAUAACUCCGGGAAACCGGAGCUAAUACCGGAUAGUUCCUUGAACCGCAUGGUUAGGAUGAAAGACGGUUUCGGCUGUCACUUACAGAUGGACCCGCGGCGCAUUAGCUAGUUGGUGAGGUAACGCUCACCAAGGCGACGAUGCGUAGCCGACCUGAGAGGGUGAUCGGCCACACUGGGACUGAGACACGGCCCAGAUCCUACGGGAGGCAGCAGUAGGGAAUCUUCCGCAAUGGACGAAAGUCUGACGGAGCAACGCCGCGUGAGUGAGAAUUUCGGAUCGUAAAGCUCUGUUGUUAGAAGAACAAGUGCAAGAGUAACUGCUUGCACCUUGACGGUACCUAACCAGAAAGCCACGGCUAACUACGUGCCAGCAGCCGCGGUAAUACGUAGGUGGCAAGCGUUGUCCGGAAUUGGGCGUAAAGGGCUCGCAGGCGGUUUCUUAAGUCUGAUGUGAAAGCCCCCGGCUCAACCGGGGAGGGUCAUUGGAAACUGGGAAACUUGAGUGCAGAAGAGGAGAGUGGAAUUCCACGUGUAGCGGUGAAAUGCAGAGAUGUGGAGGAACACCAGUGGCGAAGGCGACUCUCUGGUCUGUAACUGACGCUGAGGAGCGAAAGCGUGGGGAGCAACAGGAUUAGAUACCCUGGUAGUCCACGCCGUAAACGAUGAGUGCUAAGUGUUAGGGGGUUUCCGCCCCUUAGUGCUGCUAACGCAUUAAGCACUGCCUGGGGAGUACGGUCGCAAGACUGAAACUCAAAGGAAUUGACGGGGGCCCGCACAAGCGGUGGAGCAUGUGGUUUAAUUCGAAGCAACGCGAAGAACCUUACCAGGUCUUGACAUCCUCUGACAACCCUAGAGAUAGGGCUUUCCCUUCGGGGACAGAGUGACAGGUGGUGCAUGGUUGUCGUCAGCUCGUGUCGUGAGAUGUUGGGUUAAGUCCGCAACGAGCGCAACCCUAUCUUAGUUGCCAGCAUUCAGUUGGGCACUCUAAGGUGACUGCCGGUGCAAACCGGAGGAAGGUGGGGAUGACGUCAAAUCAUCAUGCCCCUUAUGACCUGGGCUACACACGUGCUACAAUGGACAGAACAAAGGGCUGCGAGACCGCAAGGUUUAGCCAAUCCCACAAAUCUGUUCUCAGUUCGGAUCGCAGUCUGCAACUCGACUGCGUGAAGCUGGAAUCGCUAGUAAUCGCGGAUCAGCAUCGCGGUGAAUACGUUCCCGGGCCUUGUACACACCGCCCGUCACACCACGAGAGUUUGCAACACCCGAAGUCGGUGAGGUAACCUUUA